UGUUCAGUCACGUGACUUUUUGCCGUGUUCGGAAAUUCAGCUUAAAACAAGCUCGCACACGGCAACGCGUAUUUUGUUAUUGCGCGUGAUGGCACUUAUUUUAAAUCGUCGAAUUCGGCACCUAUUUCGCUUAAGACAGAUGGUGUAUGGGCAGAUAGUGAUUGUUAAGUACCUUAAAUUUGUUUUUUUGAAUGAGACUUGUUUAAACGACCAACAGUGUAUUCAGAUUUCGACGAGGGAAAUGUAAACUUGGCGCAAACAGAGGAAAGUGCAUGACGUAUCAGUCUUGGAAUGAUGGCUAUUAAUCAUGGCUAUGUGCUAGAUAUUCCAGUUAACAUUAGACACAGCUACUAAACUAAAGCACCAAAGCUAGCUAGCUACCUAGCUAUAUAUAUAUUAGCCGAAGUAGUGGACCAGAAGAUGGAGUGUGUGAUGUUGUGUUUAAUUAUUCCAUACCACUGUGUGGUUAAUAGAUAAAGGUAUAU